ACUUAAAGGAAUGGAUGGAAAGGCAUCACCAGGUGUGGAGCCUGAGGCUAAAUUUUACUC
rnacentral:rRNA from 1 species